rnacentral:rRNA from 1 species
GACGAACUGUGCAAACGUUAUUCGGAAUCACUGGGCUUGAAGAGUGCGUAGGCGGUUUCGUAAGUAGGGUGUGAAAGCCCCCGGCUCAACCGGGGAAUUGCGCCCUAAACUGCGAGGCUGGAGUGAGGUAGGGGUGUGUGGAACUUCCAGUGGAGCGGUGAAAUGUGUUGAUAUUGGAAGGAACGCCGGUGGCGAAAGCGACACACUGGACCUUGUCUGACGCUGAGGCACGAAAGUAUGGGGAGCAAACAGG